rnacentral:rRNA from 1 species
GAUGAACGCUGGCGGCGUGCUUAACACAUGCAAGUCGAACGAAGAUGCCGGAGUGCUUGCACUUUGGCAGACUGAGUGGCGGACGGGUGAGUAACGCGUGGGUAACCUGCCUUAUACAGGGGGAUAACAGUUGGAAACGGCUGCUAAUACCGCAUAAGCGCACAGUACCGCAUGGUACGGUGUGAAAAACUCCGGUGGUGUGAGAUGGACCCGCGUCUGAUUAGCUAGUUGGUGAGGUAACGGCCCACCAAGGCGACGAUCAGUAGCCGGCCUGAGAGGGUGAACGGCCACAUUGGGACUGAGACACGGCCCAAACUCCUACGGGAGGCAGCAGUGGGGAAUAUUGCACAAUGGGGGAAACCCUGAUGCAGCGACGCCGCGUGAGUGAUGAAGUAUUUCGGUAUGUAAAACUCUAUCAGCAGGGAAGAUAAUGACGGUACCUGACUAAGAAGCACCGGCUAAAUACGUGCCAGCAGC